AGGGUGCUCCGCUCUCUUUGGCUCGCUCCGUUUUCAGACGACUUAGAGAGAGAGUGUGUGCAAGCACAGGUCCUUAAUGUGCUCUCUGCUCUUUGUGCUUUCUCUCUUUCUCUCUUUUUUCACUUUCUGUUUAUCAUGACUAUUUUGUCAGGAGCUGGUUGAGGGAUAGACUUGGCAGGAGAGCGGCAGUACUGGAUUUGAGCGAAAGACUCAAAGAAAGAAAGAGAAAAGAGAAGAGAACAACCGUAGACAAUAAGUGCAGACAGAAGAUAAUAGUUUGUUUGGAACUUUUCUGUCUUCCAGCAUGAGAGGAGAGACAUCUUUGAAGAACAAAGAGAGUGAGAGGGACUGAAAGAUGUACGACCUGAAAACAAAAAGGUGGCUGAGUCAAUCUUUGUCUUAAUGAGGAAAUGGAGAUAGUCUAUCGUCAAUGGUCUUUAUGGUCUCUGCUGUAUUUUCGCUGAAGGAGCCGGCCUACUCUGUCCACCAAGCCUGACUCCAUUUUGAUGCCAGACGAAGAGACGAUGACUGACCAGCCCUUUGGUUCCCACACCAUGUCGGCUCCAGCCCACACCAUUGGCUACCCACUACCACACCACUUCCGGGUAUGCUGGAAUAAGGACCCGAGCUACGGCAAUCGGGCUGGCUUUGUAGUGCCUGUCCCGAAUUGCGCGUACAUGUGAAUGGGCGUAUUGGAAGACACCAUGUCAGUAGCGGUGUGGUUAUGUAAAUGUAUUAUAUAUUGUGCUGUAUUGAAUUAUAAUACACCGAAUGCAAAGAUACAAUGAAGAAAAUUCAUGAAAUGUUUAGCUGAGUGGAAAAUGUAUGCUUUGAUGUUUGUAAUGGCUUGAUUUGUAUGUUUGUUAUGUUCUGAUGGGAGGGGCUUCCCCCUACAAAAGGAGCCUCUCUUUCAGUUCAAGCCUUUUCAUUGAGCUGUUGAAGGGGAACCACGGUUUAGCUGUCUCCAUAAUGUAUAUGUUUGUGGCAGUACUGUUUUUCUUUUGGAAUCACUAUGUAAAUGAACACCAUUGCACAGACGUGCUUAUGCAGGUCCACCAUCGUUUUAUUUGGUAGAGUUUAAGUUUAAUGUAGGCUUAAGUUGCGUUAAGGUUUUUCAUUUUAGCCUUCUGGCCUACUCUGCGUGACAGAGAGCUUGGGACUCUAAGGUUCUAUCUGUAUUUGUCAAUAUUUAGUUAUUGACAUAUUCUUGUUCUGUUCAAUGUUCUCUACCUAUAUAGUAUUCUAAAUACCCAAAUUCGUGUUGUUAAGUUCAAAAAAGUACAAGACAAAAAUUGCUGACACCAUUCAAACUAAUGAGGGUUCGGAACUUUAAAGUAAAUUAUCUCAGAAUCAUAUUUUUGCAGAUAGAACCUUACAGUCCCUAACUCUCGUAGCCCCAGUGGGAAUCAAACGUGCAACCUUGGGAUUGCUAGCAUAUCGUUCUUACCGACUGACUCACACAGGACCACAGACAGACCUCCAAACUCACUCAACUCACUGAAUAAUGUAAACUGUACAUUAAAUCAUCUUUAUAAUGAAUAUGAACACUACCAUCAUUUCUUUUUCUAUAAUGAGGUGAGGUUUAUUACAAAA